UACGUGGGAUUGCUUGGACCAGAAAUCAGAAGACAAGUGUCGACUCACUAGAGCAAAAGGCACGAAAUGAUGGGAUGGCUGGCCAGUCCAAACCGGAAUACGAGUAUUCAGCAGGGACAGGAUUCAGGAUCACAAUUCUCAACAAAGACAAAAAAAUAUA